UACGGAGGGGGCUAGCGUUGUUCGGAAUUACUGGGCGUAAAGCGCACGUAGGCGGCUUUGUAAGUUAGAGGUGAAAGCCCAGGGCUUAACCCUGGAAUUGCCUUUAAGACUGCAUCGCUAGAAUCGUGGAGAGGUGAGUGGAAUUCCGAGUGUAGAGGUGAAAUUCGUAGAGAUGUGGAGGAAUACCGAUGGCGAAGGCAGCCCCCUGGUCAGAUACUGACGCUGAGGCACGAAAGCGUGGGGAGCAAACAGG
rnacentral:rRNA from 1 species